UACGUAGGCAGCAAGCGUUGUUCGGAAUUACUGGGCGUAAAGAGUGUGUAGGCGGUUCUCUAUGUUCGGUGUGAAAUCUCCCGGCUUAACUGGGAGGGUGCGCCGAAAACUGGGAGGUCUUGAGUAUGGGAGAGGAAGCGGAUUCGGUGUAGCGGUGAAAUGCGUAGAUAUCAGGAGGAACACCUGCGGUGUAGACGGCUUUCUGGACCAUCACUGACGCUGAGACACGAAAGCGUGGGUAGCAAACAGG
rnacentral:rRNA from 1 species